CAAAGAAAAAAGGCUAAAACUUCGAAUCUCAUUGAUAUUUUGUAGUGUUUUGGUUUCGUGUUCACUGACAGGUGCAUUAAACUGUUUGAGACAUGGAACAAGUAUAAAUCUCGCCUUCCUCCCUCUUAUUUCGAAAAGCACCUGUUGCAAACAGCAGAUUUCCUCCUUGACUCAAAGGUUUUGGUGAUUCUGGUCACACUUUUGAUGAGAGCCUGCCUCCCUCCGUAAAUCCUUCCUCCUCUCUCUUUGACACAGCUGUUGCUGGGGAGUGCUUGCAUUUAAUUUGCCACUUAUUUUCCUUUACUCUUAUUUGGGUUUAUGUGUUAUAAAGGGUCUUUGUUUUGUGUCUCUCAGGAAAGAGUAAGAUUGCAGUAGAUGCUGUGAAUUUUGUGAAGCAGCUCUUCAGAUAUGAACAGUGGAGCAUGUUCAACUCGCUCUCUAUGGCACUUACGUCAGCACUAGAUGUGAGUGCAUCUGUGAUAUGGCUUAAAAUGUCAGCCAGACUGCUAUCUAGUUCUUUUUUCUUCUAAUGUUCACAGAACGUGGAAGGCUGCGCAUUUAGGAAGUAUGAGCUUGAACUGAGGACUUUGGAGGCUGUGGAGCAUUUGAUGUCCACGCAAAGAGUUAAAUGAAAGAAUUUUCAUUUCGGUCCAUCCCUACAAACUAUCUGAUUCCUGGUCAGGUCAGAAAGACAUGCAAUCUUUCACCAUAUUAGUGAAACAUAUUUUCAUGCAUGUCACUGAAUAUGUUGUAUUUAUUCUGCUCAGAUGAGAUGAGUUUGAUGGAAUUUAAGAAGUCACAUGCGGUUCAAGCACAGCCUCAGAAACAAAUAGACCUACAGGAGAAGGCCCUGUUGACAUUCAGGAAAAACCAGAUGAGCCGAGAGACCAAGAAAAUACUUGAGGAGGCCAUAACGCUAAUGGAGAAAGCUGAGCUUGAAGAGAGGAGGCUGGUUAGUAGUGCUUAUCCUUCAGAGAACAAUUUAGGAAUGCCAGAAACCUCCAACCUCUCCAUGAUCUUCAAACCUGCACCAUACACCCUUGAGGAGAAUGAUGUAACUUCCUGCAACAAAACAGGUCCUUCUAUUUUCUCAUAUCUUAGAUCAAGAAGCCAAUGUUUAAACAAAAAAAAAAAAUAGUAAACAAUCAGUACAAAGUAUGUUAUAUGGCCUUUGAUGCGGGGUCAGAUGAAUGUGAGCUUACUGGACAGGAAGACCCUGUUGUACUCUACAUGGUGAUUGAAAACAGCACCCUCCAGCAGGCCUUUAAAGAGGAUAUAUCAAAAAAACACAGAAAAAGUCAGAUUCACUGAAUGAGGUGUCGUACACUCAUUCUGUAUGUUUGCAUUAGUGUGUUACUGAUCUAGUGAUGAAGUUCAAGCAGAAGUCUUGUUUUCUGGAGUUUGUUGUGCGCUUGCUCCAGAAGGCCCUGCUAGAAGAUGAGAUUGAUCUUGUGUUGCAGUAGGAGCAGAACAUCUUGAACUGGCUUAGCAGGUGUGUUUUUGUGUAGUUCAUGCUUGCAAUGCAUGUGUAGGUGUUUUGAGUUAUAUUUCUUUGCUUUCUGUAAUAUUUCUAGACGUGAUGAGGCUUUGUUCGGGCUAAAGAAGAACUCUAGGUCUACCAGGGGAGGAGUUUAAAGACUUCACAACCUCUGUAAUUUAGUACAAUACCAAAAUAAGCUUCUGUUUCAUAAAAUGUGUUAACAUGGCGACACAUUCACACAAAUUAAAUGCAUGUUCUCUUUCAUUUUAUAAAUACUCUCUGAAUCUAAGUUUCAGAAAAAAAAGAUGGCACAUUUUGGGAUGGCAGGAAGUUGCUACAGAAGAAAAUUCUGAUUGCAUUCAAGAGCCAAAACUCUUAAAAGUAAAACAAUAUUCAGCCCAGCUUGCAAAACAGUGAAAUAUUACAUCUCUAAAAUGUAUUUUUUUAAUGUGUAGUCGUGUACACUAACAAUCAGUAGUUUGGAUUCUUUACUGAUUCUUUUAAUCUUACUGACCCCAAACUUUUGAACUGUAGUGUAUGUGAUUAUAUCUUUAGAAUUUUAUCUGUAUUUGCUGUUGUGUCCCUCAGAGAGGUCAGUGCUGUGGACGUCCUGCUGAGUCAACUGGCUACUCUUAUCAGAAGACAUCAGCGCUGCUGG
ensembl:lncRNA